CCUACGGGAGGCAGCAGUGGGGAAUAUUGGGCAAUGGGCGCAAGCCUGACCCAGCAACGCCGCGUGAAGGAAGAAGGCUUUCGGGUUGUAAACUUCUUUUCUCAGGGACGAAGAAAGUGACGGUACCUGAGGAAUAAGCCACGGCUAACUACGUGCCAGCAGCCGCGGUAAUACGUAGGUGGCAAGCGUUAUCCGGAUGUAUUGGGUGUAAAGGGCGUGUAGGCGGGAGCGCAAGUCAGAUGUGAAAACUCAGGGCUCAACCCUGAGCCUGCAUUUGAAACUGUGUUUCUUGAGUGCUGGGGAGGCAAUCGGAAUUCCGUGUGUAGCGGUGAAAUGCGUAGAUAUACGGAGGAACACCAGUGGCGAAGGCGGAUUGCUGGACAGUAACUGACGCUGAGGCGCGAAAGCGUGGGGAGCAAACAGGAUUAGAUACCCUUGUAGUC
rnacentral:rRNA from 1 species